UUGACAACCUGUUGCUUUUGGGAAGGGACGGACUUUACUCCAGAAAGGACUCAAACGUAAAUCUUUGAACAUGAGCAACUUUGCAAAGGAGUUCUCCAGGUGAAGGAGGAGUGAUUACAUGACCCUUGGGGUUCCUUUACCUCGAUCAUCACUGAUACUUGAGUGGAGCAGGACAUAGGGAAUGAAUACAAAGGAAAGCAACAGCCUUUCAGAGUUGGAAAGGUUUGACAGGUCCUGACUGAUUUGGGGAUAAGUAGUGUCAGCAGCUUAUGCAGGGGAAGCAGAUGCAUGACCUCAGGGCCUGGCAGCUUACUACAGAAUGGGAGAUGAAACCUGGAAAAGAAAAAAAGCCAAACCACAACUCAGUCCCAAAUGCCCAAUCACUAGGAGGAAACAUUCACAGCAAGGCAGCAGGGUGAGGAGGAUCAGAGACACCACAGGAACCUGGCACUGGCUCUUCUUGGUCUGGCUCCCUUACCUGCUCCAGCUCCUCAUAGACACGGCUACGUCUCAGUUUCCCCUUGACUGGAGUUUCAUUGUCCUGGCAUCUCACUAUUCGCUUCAGCACUGGUCUGUCCAACUUCUCUGGCAUGGAC